GGUGUUAAGAGAAAGGAAGUAAUAAGCUUUUGUCAAAAGACUGAGAAGAUAAGUAGAGAAAAAAUGACCAUUGGAUAUGCCAGCAUGAAGGCAGUAGGAAGUAAAGGAGUAGUAUAAUGAAAAAGUAUAUUUUAAACUUUUGGUCUUCACCAUUGGCAAGUUGAAGGCUGGUAUCAAGAGUGACACAGCUGCAGGUGUUUCUCAUUUAGAAUGUCUUUACCAGCAACACAUCAAAGUUCAGAAACCAUGAAAACCCCGCGUCGGAAUCAGACAUUAUUCUUACUGGGGAAGUCAGCGG